rnacentral:rRNA from 1 species
AGCGUAGACGGCGCAGCAAGUCUGAUGUGAAAGGCAGGGGCUUAACCCCUGGACUGCAUUGGAAACUGCUGUACUUGAGUGCCGGAGGGGUAAGCGGAAUUCCUAGUGUAGCGGUGAAAUGCGUAGAUAUUAGGAGGAACACCAGUGGCGAAGGCGACUUACUGGACGAUAACUGACGUUGAGGCUCGAAAGCGUGGGGAGCAAACA